rnacentral:rRNA from 1 species
GACGAACGCUGGCGGCGUGCUUAACACAUGCAAGUCGAACGGUAAGGCCCCUUCGGGGGUACACGAGUGGCGAACGGGUGAGUAACACGUGGGUAAUCUGCCCUGCACUUCGGGAUAAGCCUGGGAAACCGGGUCUAAUACCGGAUAUGAACUCCUGCCGCAUGGUGGGGGUUGGAAAGUUUUUCGGUGCAGGAUGAGCCCGGGGCCUAUCAGCUUGUUGGGGGGGUAAUGGCCUACCAAGGCGACGACGGGUAGCCGGCCUGAGAGGGUGAUAGGCCACACUGGGACGGAGACACGGCCCAGACUCCUACGGGAGGCAGCAGUGGGGAAUAUUGCACAAUGGGCGAAAGCCUGAUGCAGCGACGCCGCGUGGGGGAUGACGGUCUUCGGAUUGUAAACCCCUUUCAGUAGGGACGAAGCGCAAGUGACGGUACCUGCGGAAGAAGCACCGGCUAACUACGUGCCAGCCGCCGCCGUAA